UACAGAGGGUGCAAGCGUUAAUCGGAAUUACUGGGCGUAAAGGGCCUGUAGGUGGUUUCUUAAGUUAGAUGUGAAAGCCCUGGGCUUAACCUGGGAACUGCAUCUAAAACUGGGUGACUAGAGUAUGGUAGAGGGAAGUGGAAUUUCUAGUGUAGCGGUGAAAUGCGUAGAUAUUAGAAAGAACACCAGUGGCGAAGGCGACUUCCUGGACCAAUACUGACACUGAGGGGCGAAAGCGUGGGGAGCAAACAGG
rnacentral:rRNA from 1 species